CAUCUAGUAGCUGGUUCCCUCCGAAGUUUCCCUCAGGAUAGCUAGAGUCUUUAUCAGUUUUGUCAGGUAAAGCGAAUGAUUAGAGGUUCCGGGGAAGUAACUUCCUCGACCUAUUCUCAAACUUUAAAUGGGCAAGAUCCAGUAGUUACUUAAUUGAACUAUUGGGGUCAAUGAGACGACUCUAAGUGGGCCAUUUUUGGUAAGCAGAACUGGCGAUGAGGGAUGAACCUAACGCUCGGUUAAGGUGCUAAACUGCUCGCUCAUCAGAUACCACAAAGGGUGUUGGUCGAUCUUAACAGCAGGACGGUGGUCAUGGAAGUCGAAAUCCGCUAAGGAGUGUGUAACAACUCACCUGCCGAAUCGACUAGCCCCGAAAAUGGAUAGCGCUGAAGCGAGUGACCGAUACCGGGCCAUUGUUGCAAGAUAAUUGGCAACAAUGAGUAGGAGGGCGUGGGGGUUGUGAAGAAGCUUGGACGUGAGUCUGAGUGAAACAGCUUCCAGUGCAGAUCUUGGUGGUAGUAGCAAGUAUUCAAUAAGAGAACAUUGAAGGCCGAAGUGGGGAAGGGUUCCAUGUGAACAGCACUUGGACAUGGGUUAGCCGAUCCUGAGAGACAGGUUAAAUUCCAUCGGAUUGGAGCUUUGGCUCUGUUUCUCGAAAGGGAAGCUGGUUAGUAUUCCAGCGCCGAGACGUGGAUAAUAUGUGGCAACACAAGUGAACUCGGACACGCCAUAGGGGACCCCAGGAAGCGUUGUCUUUUCUUUUUAACAGUUCGACUUACCCUGGAAUCAGAUCAUCUGGAGAUAGGGUUUUCGAACUGGAAUAGCACCUUGUCUAACAGGGUGUCUGGAGUGUUCUCGCUGGCCCUUGAAAAUCCGAGGGAUAGAUUUAUUCGCACUCUCGAUCGUACCCAUAACCGCAUCAGGUCUCCAAGGGUAGAAGCCUCUGGUCCGUAAGGACAAAGUAGAUAAGGGAAGUCGGCAAAAUAGGUCCGUAACUUCGGGAAAGGACUGGCUCUGAAGUUUGGUAUGUGGAACCUGGA
rnacentral:ncRNA from 1 species